GACGAACGCUGGCGGCGUGCUUAACACAUGCAAGUCGAACGGAAAGGCCCUGCUUUUGUGGGGUGCUCGAGUGGCGAACAGGUGAGUAACACGUGAGUAACCUGCCCUUGACUUUGGGAUAACUUCAGGAAACUGGGGCUAAUACCGGAUAGGAGCUCCUGCUGCAUGGUGGGGGUUGGAAAGUUUCGGCGGUUGGGGAUGGACUCGCGGCUUAUCAGCUUGUUGGUGGGGUAGUGGCUUACCAAGGCUUUGACGGGUAGCCGGCCUGAGAGGGUGACCGGCCACAUUGGGACUGAGAUACGGCCCAGACUCCUACGGGAGGCAGCAGUGGGGAAUAUUGCACAAUGGGCGGAAGCCUGACGCAGCAACGCCGCGUGCGGGAUGACGGCCUUCGGGUUGUAAACCGCUUUCGCCUGUGACGAAGCGUGAGUGACGGUAAUGGGUAAAGAAGCACCGGCUAACUACGUG
rnacentral:rRNA from 1 species